rnacentral:lncRNA from 1 species
CUGCACAUUCUAUGCUCAACAUAACCAUGACUAAACUCAUCAGCCUCCACAUCAAACCUGGUCUUCUUCCUUUCUUCAUGUGGUCUUGACUGAUUUCCUCUGCACAAGCCAGAAUCUAUCUAGCCCAUUAAGUGAAGGCUCUAUGCCAUCCACAGGGCUGACUGCCUUUUAAACACAGAACAUCCGUCUUCCCUACCAUUGUGUGCCUAGCUCUGUGUCUAACUCCAGGAACGCCUAAAGCAAACUUACUUCACCAUUUCCACAUUCCACUACCACAGACCCCAGGAUCUGGACCACCAGGCGUAUCUUCCUUGGAGAGUCGGCUUCUCAUAGGAGAGUCCUUCUCAUCCUUGCAGUGCCUGGCACAAGCAGCUCCAAGGAUGACAGCACCACUGCAGAUUAUACGAGAUGAGUGUCAGCCAUCACCGCUCACCAUGGGCCUGACUUGCCCGGCCUCCUUGAACCGAUGAGGGUGGUUCAAGCUUCAUUCUAGCUUCAGGCCCUCAACAAAUUGGAUGAUGUCCACCCACACUGGAGAGGACCAUGUGCUUACUUAGUCCAUCAAUUCAAAUGAUAAUCUCUUCCAGAAACAUCCUUACAG